UGGAAUCAAGAGCGGUGCGGAUCUGGU
rnacentral:sRNA from 1 species